AGCCUACAAAAAUUUCACAUCAAAUUAAUUAUUAAACAAGGUUUCCUGCAAAUUAUAUUGCAUAUAAACACAAAUUUAUAAUGAGAAUUAAUUAAUCUAUUAAAACAUUUCGAGGUUAUAUAUUUCACUAUACUUUUUUUACAGUGUAGAUUUAUAUAUAAAGUUUUUAAACUAAAUUUAAGUUGGUUAUACUGCACAUUUUUGAUUGGUCAGUUAGGAUGUGGUUGAUCUAUGGGUCAGAUCACAACUUUUGACAUAUGAUGUUUAAACCGUAAACAGUGUCUAUUUUGUUAGUUUUUGUGUGUAUUGUGUUGAUAAAAUAUCAAAUAUUGUCGUUACUAAUUUGAAAAUGAACUAAAAUACUAUUUCAAUAAAAAAAGAAUGUGUUUAUUCGUUUAAUUUUUUAGUUUGUGGUAAAUUUUUCGUGGUGUUAUUUCGUUUUACAAAAUUAGAAUCUAAUCAAGUACUUAGUGAUUUUUUGUACUUGUUUUAUGUGUAAUGAUUGACUUGAGGUCCAACCCACUGCUCGAUAAGGAAACCUUCAUUGUAAUGGCUCCUUAUUAAACCUAUCAACAUUUCAACAGAAAAAGUUGGUAAAAUCCAAUUUUUUUUCAAAACCGGCCAACCUCCGAGAUGAUCCAGAACGUCCCUGAUUGGUCUAUCUCCAAUUUUACGAAUAUUGUCUACAAUAUAUGCAUUAUUUUCAAAACUGUCGCACCGUAUCUAUCUUUAGAACGUUAUCAAUAUUUUCAGAUUACUUCUGACGAUAUUUCGAUGAAAUUUAAAACAACUAUACUUAUAUAAAGUGAAAUUCACUUGUUUCGAUCAUAUCCCGGGAAUCUUCAGUUAUAGCAGUUUGCUUUGGUAAUUUCAUUUUGUAAUUUAAACAGUGUUGCCACUUUAAUUAAGAGGCUAGCAAUUCAAAAAGUAAUAUAUUUCGUUAUUUGUUCACAUAUACUUACGUAAAUCCAUGCAGGUACCAUAAAACAGCUUGGCUUUCCUCGUUGCCUCACUAUCAUUGAGAUUCAUAGGUUUUUCGAGAACCCCUACGAUUGUAAACCAAAAAUUACUGAUCAGAUCUGCACACAUUAGAAACAAUGUUAUUUCUUAUAUCUUCUUGGUUGGUUUUUGGAUAGUACCAGCAAUGGGUAAGCUAUCGUAACGCAUCUAACAGAUGAGGCGGACUCACUCGCCAAUCAGGGAUCGACGAAUUCACCGAUGGUGUAACUGAAACCUGUCACGAGACAUCCGAGACUCCGUAUACACACUAUCAGCAUCACGGACGACCCGGAGUGCCGCUGGUGCAUGGAGGAGGAUGAAACCUCGGGCCACGUCAUCUGUGAAUGCUCAGAACUCGCGCGAGCGCGGUUUAAACAUCAAAGAGUUCGAGUUAAAGCGCCUGAUCGGCUUCCCAAAGGACAUCAAGUGGGGCACGAAGGGCCUAUCUGAAUGCCUAUGUGUUCAACGACCCCUGGGCGGCCACUAUGCAACUAUGAACAUCUGAUAGAUUUUUUUCUCAAUAAAUGAAUACCUUACCUUUGAGAAUUACCUGUAAUUGAUCCGCCAUAACCUCAAACGUACUUAUAGAACUUCUAUCUUCGGGUAUUAAAUGAAUUUUGUUCCAAGUGCCGCAUGCGUAUUGGAAAAAAUCUACGCAAGGAUCGGCGGUUCGGUCCAUGGCUGCCAACAACGACGAUGCUACAAAUACAGUUCGUUAUUUAAUUUUGAUUUUAUUUAUAUUAUACUUACCAGUGCGUACACAUUCUUCCGUCAAGCAAAUUGUUUUCUUUUUUACUAAAAACGUAAAAUAAUCUAUUGAAAAAUAUUGUACGAGUCAAUGAUGUUGAUAAUUUUGGACAGAACCAAUUCAAACAUUAUUUAGGUAUUAGUAUUAUAAGUGAAAUACAAGCGCUACCUAUGUGGGAGUAGCCAAACUAGCCACUUAUAAUACCCUAAAUUCUUGUACAGGUAACUUCUUAAAACAAGUAUCCAUAAAUAAUACAACGACGCCAUCUACGUGCGAGAAGAUUGUCUGGGAACAGUUUUGAAACUUCUCACUAGAAAAUUUCUGUAUUUGACACUAGAUGGCGACACCAUACGCAACGAUAGCUUUAAGAAUAUGUUUAUAAAGUAUUUAAUCUUUUUAUUAUUAUUUUAUAAAUGUGUUUUUGUGCAGAAUUAAACGAGGUUUUAUCAAAAUGUAUCUGUACCUCUCCCUCUUUAUAUAAUGUAAUGCGAUAUGAUUUCUCGUUAGCACGAUAGAUGGCGCCACCAUAAAUGCAUCAAAUAUUCGUAUAAUUCAAAACACAGAAAUAUUUUCCUAGCGAUUCCGAAUUUACGAUGUGCUGUAUUACUGUUUAUAUGUAAUUAUAAUGAAUUUAUCACUUAUUUGUAUAUAUUUUGUAAAUAUCAGUAGUUCAGUGUUGCCCCCUAACGGUGAAUAGCAGAAAUAAUUCAUGUGUUAAAAGUAAACUUCAGAUAUAUAUACACACUGUUUAAUUUCAUUUUUAUAAACAUGUUGAUUAAGGGAAUGAGUGAUUUUAAUUUUUUUUUAUUUGAAAAUAAUAAAAUCAAAAAUAUAUUUCAUUGUUUUAAAUUAAAAAUAUACAACUUUGACGCCUAUUAUGAUUAAAAAGGAUACAUUUUACGUUUAUUUAAUAAAUUUGUACGUUGAAAAGAGAUUUAAAUUUCGCGCUAUAAAUAAAAUUUAAAUUUGCCGGUAAAAUGUGAUGGAUGUCGAAUGAAUAGGUGAUGUUUUUAGCGCUAGAUGGCAUCAGAACAAAUAACAGUCUUUAGUAAUCAUAUUUAAGCUACCAUAAAAUUUAAAACUACUCUAGCUACUACUUCAUAGAUGGCGGGGCCGUAGUAUUUCCAUUUAUUCCUUGAAUUACUACCUAUGAAAUUGUUUACAUGCUUUAAAACAAUUUUUAUAAAAGAAAAAUUUGAAAUUACUGCUAGGAGAUUCAAAAAAAAUUUCCAUUGGCGUAAAGUUAACGUAUUUUUGAUUAAAUACGAGGUGAUACGUUACUUAUGAAUAUAUUUUUUAGCCAGAAGUAUAUUUUGAUAAUUUUAAGGUGAAUAAAAUGUUCAAAUAUC